GGAUGUCCAAAGUGUAAUGCAAGCAAUAUUGUGACAGCAUCAAGAUGACAAUUCCUAAAGCAGUGAACUCACUCAAAGUUUUGGCAGAGUUGCCAAUCAUUGUUGUCCUAAAUUAUGUGUCAGCUCUAUAAACAUAAUGUCCACAGUGAUGUGGCAGACUUUUUUCCUUUGAUUAUGAACACCAUGAUGACCUGCAGCCAUCUCUGACAGCAAGAGACUGCUCGGAAAAAGGUGCAAAUUAUCAUCUAACCACAGCAAAGGUGAUUUUUUCAUGUUUGAAGAUAACAGGUUUGCCUGGUAUUUCACUGUUGUUUAUAUAAUGAAUUAUUGUUACUUGAAUGAGAUCUCACUGAGAGUAUAGCGCUGACAAGCACAUUGCAUUUUUUUCCAGUUCAGAAAUUCUAGUUCUGGCAAAAAAAUUGUUACUCAUUAGUUGUUAAGUAACCAACAGCAAUAAAUUUUUGCUGGAUUCAAGGCAAAAGAUCCUAAAGUAUGUACUUUAAGCAGGUAUAGAUAUUAUUGAUGGAACUUAUCUUUUUCCUUGUAUUUAGAUAAUUAUUUUUCCUUGUAGAUAAUGAUUUUUCCUUGUAUUUAGAUAAUUAUUUU